AUGGAAGUGGACUGCCCUACAACAGCAUCAAGAGCGAUGAUCUUCUUAGUAACAUGCCUAAGAAAAUGUGCAUCCGUAAUCUCAUAUAUGCCAACUAGUUCUCAACAACAUGCAUCCAGAAAACAAAACAACAACCAUGGGAAGGGGCUGCCAACCCUGAGAUAUUUGGCAUCAGCACAUUUGGCCCGAUCAGUCGGCGAGGUCGACAAGCUAGCUAGGACCCCACCCAGUGCAAUCAAGGCCAUGAAGACAACCCUAGAAAUGUUCAACGUCAACUGGUAUGUCUGUCAUCUUCCAACAUUUUGGUCGAUUUGUAUUCUACUUGACCAUGUGCUAACCAGAGGUGGCUCUGUAUUGUUGGAUAUAAAUUUCCGAAUACUAACAAGAGUGUUGGAUAGAUUUCGGAAUACUGACCACACCUCUUGUUAG
rnacentral:rRNA from 1 species